ensembl:lncRNA LINC02541 long intergenic non-protein coding RNA 2541
AGGCAUUAACAAGUAGGUUGACUGUCGGGACAAGCCCAGGGAUGGCAUUGUUUCUAUUUGCUGAUAAAUGACUCUGGGGCUGUGAAGACUCAGACCCAAGGAGUGACUCAGAAAGUCAGGGGCCCAUGUCAUUCUGCUCUGGGUUCAGACGUGCACUGCAGCAGCACCGGGACUUGACAGCCCUACGGCUCGAUCAGCUUUCUGUUUUCAUUGCCUUACGAUGCCAUGAGUGGAACUAUUGUCAAAUCAGAGUUCACUCCCCAGCUUUUCAGUCUUUCCCCUAAUUCUUGCUCUAUCAGAGGUCGAGGACAACAGUAUAAUGAUUCAUAGGUUCUACUUCCUGGCAAGUAAUCAUUUUCCCACGGGCCCUUGUGAAUUGAUGAAUAUGAAGACACUAAGAAAGCAGAAAUAGAACUGAGAAGAAUGAAAUAACUGUCUCUACCUUUCUCGAAUUGUCUAAUAUGGAAAGAAUGAAAGACAGCUAAUAAGCAACUCUCUGCAAGAAGACAUAUGGCUUAGGUUCUGCUGAGCUAUUGGUGAUUUGAUUCCAUGCAUAUGUAUUCACUACUGGUAUAAGUAUAUACAAUAUAUGUGUUUCUGCAAAGAA